GUGCGUUCUCUGCGGGCGUAUAGGUACCUGUUAUGUGCGUGCGUGCUCGCGCGCGGUAUAUAGCUAUCUGCUUAUGUGCGUGCGUGCGUUCUGCGCGGGCGUAUAG